rnacentral:rRNA from 1 species
AUACGGAGGGGGUUAGCGUUGUUCGGAAUUACUGGGCGUAAAGCGCACGUAGGCGGAUUGGAAAGUUGGGGGUGAAAUCCCAGGGCUCAACCCUGGAACUGCCUCCAAAACUAACAGUCUAGAGUUCGAGAGAGGUGAGUGGAAUUCCAAGUGUAGAGGUGAAAUUCGUAGAUAUUUGGAGGAACACCAGUGGCGAAGGCGGCUCACUGGCUCGAUACUGACGCUGAGGUGCGAAAGCGUGGGGAGCAAACAGGAUUAGAAACCCGUGUAGUCC